AGUUAUUUAAAUAUGCAAAAAGUGUUUUGUUUCAUGUUGUUGAGACAUUUUCUUUGGCUAAAUUAAGUCCAAACUGUCUUUUUAAUUUUGUGCUCUGUGAUUAAUUUUAGAUAAGUUAAAAGUAAGCCUAUUAUAAAAUAUAUAGCAUUAGCCUAUUGCUGUCAUUUGUUGGGUAGGCCUACGGUAGGCACUCGUCUUUGUUGGUAAUUGCAGCAAUAUAAGCCUGUUCAAAACCUUUGAAGGUUUAAACCAAUUCAUUAAAGAUGCAACAAGUGUUUUGUUUCAUUCUGUUAAAGCCAUUUUCUUUGCCCAAAUGAAGUUCCAAAUGUAAUGUGUUUGCAGCAAUAUAAUAGAAUACCGAUUGAUCUACUAUAGGGCUAAUCGCACUCACACGGUGAAAAGGAAAAACCAAAGAGGGCGAGAUGCAAAACUUUAUUUAAUACCUGUUGGUAUUUUCUCUUUAAAGUUAAGCAACUUUAGGUGAGGAAGUAUAUAUUUUAGGCCUACCAGAGUUAAUCUAACAAUAUAAUAAUAAUCUAACAAUAUAAUGCUUAUCAUUAAGAAAAUAAUUCUGAUAGAAAAUGAUCGAAUUAUCCUCAUUCAGUAUGCCUGUAGGCCUAUGUGACAAGUAUAAAGAAAUGCAUGUCGGUGUUGAACAUGUCGCCGACAUACCUCUAUCUUCCUCUCGGUCUCUUUAGGGUUAAGCCUAAACUCCUCUUCCUUUAUAUUCACUUUUGAAAUAUAGGCCUUAUGCAUUUACAGCUCAAAUCUCUAGCAGCUGAACCGUGAGGUGGAGAAUAAUUAUUGUACAAACCAAUAAAACAAUAGACUAUAAAGUUUUGAACCACAGGCUACACAUCCAAACACAACUAAUAGUUUUUAGUAAUUGUUAUAGACAGUUUUUAAGGACAAGUAGGCCAAAUCAGCAUGGGUUUAUUUUUCCAUGGGCCUUUCAGAACAGGUCUGACUGUCACCCGGUUCAUUCGGAACAGGUCUGACUGUCACCCGGGUUCAUUCGGAACAGGUCUGACUGUCACCCGGUUCAUUCGGAACAGGUCUGACUGUCACCCGGUUCAUUCGGAACAGGUCUGACUGUCGUCCGGUUCAUUCGGAACAGGUCUGACUGUCGUCCGGUUCAUUCGGAACUGGUCUCUGUUUAGAAAAUAUAUAAUUUAUACAUUUCGGGCCGGGUGGGAAAGCUGAAGACACUCUCACACACUCUGAGCAUGUACAAACACUGUGAUCAUCCAGGGCCUUGGACCAGAAAAAAACACACAUCAUGGAUAAAACACACACACUCACACAGUCAAAACACAGACCCAGUUAACGCAGAAUAAACACACACAUAGACAGGUGAGACACUGUGUGUGUCUGUUUCGCCUUAUUUCCUUGUGGUCUCUCCGGGGCCUGCAUGUGUGUGUGUUGGCAUAGCGUCCAGUUGUGACCGUAGAUGAUCGGUAUCUGUCUCCGCCAGUCAUAGCUGUUCUCUGUAAGCGUCCCGUAAUGCAUCCAGCUGAGCCUCUCUCYCACGCACUCCCCGGUCCAAUUCAUCAUGCCUACAGAUGGGAACAUCAAGACACCAUCCAAUAGACCACCAUUAGUCUAGGACUUCUACUCCUAUGCUGCUAAUUGGUCUUUCUUUGUGCCUCUGUCUGUUGCAUUUGUAUAGUAGUAGUGGUAAGAUCUAGGACUCCCUUCUUAUUGUAUAAUUCUUCCUCUCUCCUCCUCUCCCCUCCUCUCCCUUCCGCUCUCUUCCUCUCUCCUUCUCUCUCUUCCUUUUGGUCUGCAUAGAUUUUAGUUUGUCUUCUAGCUCCUUUGAAAUGACAAUGGGAAAUAAGGCUGGCAUGAAUAGUUUUAAGUGCGUCCUUGACGGAGGUGAUGUCCUUUAUCUCCCAGUCUCUGUGCUGUAGCUGUGUGUGCUGACAGAGAUCCUCUGAGGCCUUCAGGGCCUCCACAGCCUAGGCCUGGGAGUGGACCUCUGUCUCCUUAGAGAGCAGCUUCAACUUUGGAGAGACACACAAACACACACUUGCGCUUGUCAGGGAUCAGAAUGUAUCAUCCCAUCUUAUUCAGCA
rnacentral:lncRNA from 1 species